GCAUUUGUCUUGCUUGCUAGCAGUUUGAGCGCCCCAUUCCCUUCAGCAGCAAAAGCAUUUUACGGCAACAAUCAUAUUUGUCGACGAAGCUGCAAACAAAAGAUGUCAGUUCCCAGAGCUAAAAUGUAUCCUUGGUAUUGUCACAGAUAGACGCAAACAAUGUGUUGCUGCUUCGUUUCUUGGCCAUUUUUUUUGUAACAUUUGCAGAUAUUUGGUGAUAAUUGAUGUGAUAAGUAUUUGCAGCAUAAAUCACUAUAAGAGUUGCUGGAAUUUUCCUUUAGCUGCACUGACAAUAGUGUGCAGUGACUGUGUGUAUCUACCCAUUAACAAACUAAUGAGCCUGCACCUGGUGGAUUGUAGGUGCCGUGCAGGACGCUUGUGAUUGGAUAACGAGGCGCCGCGGUAAUUCUUUCCACCCUGGGGAUGGUUGCAAAAUGGCGCUGUGUGAAGACAUCAGAAAGACCGUUUGCUAUUUUUUUUCGACGGUGUAGCAGCAGACCACCAUCGCCAUCACCUGGGCCGGUGGACUCCACCACGCCAAGAAGUUCGAAGCAUCUGGUUUCUGUUACGUGAACGACAUCGUCCUGGCCAUUUCUGAGCUACUCGAGACAUCGGGGCUGGAAAGAACAAAUACUACACGGUGAAUUACCCACAAAGCCGUCUUUAAACCGCCCAUAACCAAAGAAUAGCCUGUGAGGAGGAGGUCCAAGAAUGCUGCCAACCAAGAGGGAAAAGGAAGCAGAAGAAAGGUAACCUGUGGAUUAACUACUGCCAGAACUAGUAGUUAGUGGUGUUGUCUUUAUUUGAGAGCAUUUGUAUGUAAUGUCUUUAUUUCAUCUUGUG